UAUCUUGAUCCCGGUAUGACGGGGUAUGGAAGCCGGUGAGAAUCCGGCACGGUUGCGCCACUGUGAAACCCCCGGGGUGAGUCAGAUCUUUCGCCGUCGUACAAAACCGAACACGUAGGGGCGCGUGACCCCAUAGGAGGUUUGA
rnacentral:sRNA from 2 species